GACGAACGCUGGCGGCGUGCUUAACACAUGCAAGUCGAACGCUGAAGCUCAGCUUUUGUUGGGUGGAUGAGUGGCGAACGGGUGAGUAACACGUGAGUAACCUGCCCCCUUCUUUGGGAUAACGCCCGGAAACGGGUGCUAAUACUGGAUAUUCACUGGUCUUCGCAUGGGGGUUGGUGGAAAGGGUUUUUCUGGUGGGGGAUGGGCUCGCGGCCUAUCAGCUUGUUGGUGGGGUGAUGGCCUACCAAGGCUUUGACGGGUAGCCGGCCUGAGAGGGUGACCGGUCACAUUGGGACUGAGAUACGGCCCAGACUCCUACGGGAGGCAGCAGUGGGGAAUAUUGCACAAUGGGCGCAAGCCUGAUGCAGCGACGCCGCGUGAGGGAUGAAGGCCUUCGGGUUGUGAACCUCUUUCGCUCAUGGUCAAGCCGCAACAAUGGUUGUGGUGAGGGUAGUGGGUAAAGAAGCGCCGGCUAACUACGUG
rnacentral:rRNA from 1 species